rnacentral:rRNA from 1 species
GGAUCCUGAGUACGGCGGAACACGAGAAAUUCCGUCGGAAUCCGGGAGGACCAUCUCCCAAGGCUAAAUACUCCCUAGUGACCGAUAGUGAACCAGUACCGUGAGGGAAAGGUGAAAAGCACCCCGGAAGGGGAGUGAAAUAGAACCUGAAACCGUGUGCCUACAACAAGUCAAAGCCCGUUAAUGGGUGAUGGCGUGCCUUUUGUAGAAUGAACCGGCGAGUUACGAUUGCAUGCGAGGUUAAGUUGAAGAGACGGAGCCGCAGCGAAAGCGAGUCUGAAUAGGGCGUUUGAGUAUGUAGUCGUAGACCCGAAACCAUGUGAUCUACCCAUGUCCAGGUUGAAGGUGCGGUAAAACGCACUGGAGGACCGAACCCACGUACGUUGAAAAGUGCGGGGAUGAGGUGUGGGUAGCGGAGAAAUUCCAAACGAACUUGGAGAUAGCUGGUUCUCUCCGAAAUAGCUUUAGGGCUAGCCUCGGAAUUGAGAAUGAUGGAGGUAGAGCACUGUUUGGACUAGGGGCCCAUCUCGGGUUACCGAAUUCAGAUAAACUCCGAAUGCCAUUCAUUCAUAUCCGGGAGUCAGACUGUGAGUGAUAAGAUCCAUAGUCGAAAGGGAAACAGCCCAGACCACCAGCUAAGGUCCCAAAAUAUAUGUUAAGUGGAAAAGGAUGUGGGGUUGCACAGACAACUAGGAUGUUGGCUUAGAAGCAGCCACCAUUUAAAGAGUGCGUAAUAGCUCACUAGUCGAGUGACCCUGCGCCGAAAAUGUACCGGGGCUAAACAUAUUACCGAAGCUGUGGAGUACACCUUUAGGUGUAUUGGUAGGAGAGCGU